rnacentral:rRNA from 1 species
UACGAAGGGGGCGAGCGUUGUUCGGAAUUACUGGGCGUAAAGGGCGCGUAGGCGGCGAUCCGAGUCAGAUGUGAAAGUCCUGGGCUUAACCUGGGGACUGCAUUUGAUACUGGAUUGCUUGAAUGCAGGAGAGGAUAGCGGAAUUCCCAGUGUAGAGGUGAAAUUCGUAGAUAUUGGGAAGAACACCGGUGGCGAAGGCGGCUAUCUGGACUGUGAUUGACGCUGAGGAGCGAAAGCGUGGGGAGCGAACAGG